rnacentral:tRNA from 1 species
GGCAGCUUGCCCGAGUGGUUAAGGGGGGUAGACUUGAAAUCUACUGGACUUUGCCCGCAUAGGUUCAAAUCCAGUAGCUGUUG